UCAUGGUAUAGCGGCGUCACGUGAUAUGUCCCCGGUAACAUCGACAUGUGCAGUAACAAAGUUGAUUAAAGAUGACGAUGAUGAACUAGAAUGAUGAAUGGUGAAGCUGGGUCCUUGGGUCACUCUGGGGCCAGCCAGGCACAACACAGCUGUGCUCUCCCCUCUCCUACAGAUGGCAGCACCGCAGAUGUUAAUAGGUGUACAAAGGAGGACAGACCAGAUCAGCUUAUGUUCAAACAGUGCCAGGAAUCUGUGAACAGUGUUGUAAAACAUGAUGGAGCUGUGUUCACUGGACCGUCUCCUCCCUUGAUCUGUAAUGGUGGUACUCGGUGUCAAGAUCACAGUGAUGCAAAGUCUCCUGACAAAAGGGUACGACAGCUUUCUGCUGUCUGUAGAAGCCAUGAUGUGGUAGAGGAUGGUGUAAAUCCAUCAGGUAAAGAUGAAAAGCAGUCAAGGGAAGUUGUACAGAAAGUAGCUUCAGAUGACACUGGCGGUACGACACAUGUAUCGGUUAAGGGUCAGAAAACAUUUGUCAAACGCGAAAGUGAAAAAGACACAAUAGACUCAAACCAGACUGUCUGUGAGUCUCUGACUCUUCCAGAAGGCAGGAGUGAAACAUUAUUAAAUGUAACUGAUAAAAGUACGGAAAUGGAUGUGAUUAACAAUCGAAGUAAGAUUGAGUCUGAAGACACACCAAUGGAGGUUGAUAGAGAAAAUGUAGAACUAGAAGGUGAAACAGUGUCAAGUAUUGGCAGUUCACAAGACCCGGAGGACACAAGCUGGAGUGGAAUGGCAGACCAAGAGAGUGGGCCUGACAGUGAUGCAGAACUAAGAAUUGAGAUCAGUGAUGUCCGGACUGUCAACUUUGAUGAGGAAGUUGAUCUAGAUUCAAGUGAUCCCCUCGCAAUAAUUGAUCUUGAAAACUCCGGAGGCCUGUCCAGGGGUAACAACUCCCAAGAAGAUUUCACCAGCCCCAUCACAGGAGACGCAUCACAAGCUUUUGAAGAGGAAGGGGAUUCUUCACCACAGAAUGGUGGCAAUAUGGAAGAUGGUGAACGUCAAGCCAGCCCACAUGGCCCCACGGCAGGAGAAGCAUCACAAGUUAAUCAAGAGGAAGGGGAUUCUCCACUACAGAAUGGUGGCAAUAUGGAAGAUGGUGAACGUCAAGCCAGCCCACAUGGCCCCACGGCAGGAGAAGCAUCACAAGUUAAUCCAGAGGAAGGGGACUCUUCACAACAGAAUGGUGGCAAUAUGGAAGAUGGUGAACGUCAAGCCAGCCCACAUAGCUCCAUGGUAGAAGAAGCAUCACAAGUUAAUCCAGAGGAAGAAGACUCUUCACCGAAGCAUGAUGGAAAUAUGGAAGACGGUGAAGAUCAAGCCAGCCCACAUGGCCCCACAGCGGGAGUGAAUGAUAGAUACACACUCUGUGAGAGUUCAGAGAAUGGUCAUGAGGAGAGGCCUAAUUUGACAGAGAGAACUGAGGGAGACUCGUUAGUCACCAAGAACCAGAAUGGUGAGAGCCCCAGCACUGAGACCCAGACCAAAGAAGCUGAUAUCCUGCAUGAUCUAUACCAACAAACGUCCUCUCUACAUGACCCAGAGCUGAACACACUGAAAACAUCAGAUGCUGGGAAAGAAGCAGAUACGGAGUCGGCAGCAACAACAACUCAAGCAAGUACUCUUCUUUCCAACAUCGCUGAAACAGUUCAGAAGAUAAAAUCCGAGCCACAGGACCAGGGGUAUGAAGAUGCUCAGACUUCUGUUCAAGAAGCCCGGGUUGGCAGCUGCAGCAAGACACAGGAUAUGACGGAGCGGUUCCGUCUGCCAGAGAGUAUGUGUAGGACAGAACCAAGUACUGUAUCUCAUACCGUCAUAACACAGCCAGCAUCCCUGAUCACCACGCUGCCAUCUCCGAAAGUCCUGCCUUAUAUGGCCAUGAAGACCAUGGUUACUCCGACACUGCCAAGUCGCGUGAUCAGCACCACAUCUGUGGCACCCAUGUCACAGGCCCUUGUUGCCAAGGGGAUGGAAGGAGCUCAGACCAAAACUGUGGCAUUACUAGUUCCCUUUAGAACACAGGGCAAUGACAGGGGUCCCAUGUUUGCUUCACUUCCCACUGUCUCAAGCAAAGAUACAAGUUCCGCCACUGCCCAUUCGGAGAUUGCAACAAGUGUGACAGUCAGUGUUGCAUCUUUGGAGCCUGUCAUGUCAACAAAUACUCUUGUGUCAAAAAGUGAGGAAGAAGUAGAAAGUUUUGAAAAGCUUGUUUAUGAUAAGUGCAUGCAGCAUGAAGUGAAGUCUAUUGACUUGGGAAAAGUGUCAGAAUUUCUUCAGCGGAGAAAUACCAUGAAGUGUUAUAAGGGGUCAAAACACCCUUCAUUCGCGGACAAGAAACAACAGGGUUGUCUCGAGUGUGGCGACAGCUACGUACUGAAGACAAGUCUGGAUCAUCACAUGACGCGCUGCAGCAUUGUAAUCAAGUACCACUGUGACAAAUGCAAAGGAGAUUUUAAGUUUACGAAUAAAUGUCAGCUCUUGACUCAUCUGAGACUGCAUGUUGAUGCAUCAAGUACAUCUAAGGUUCCCCCACCACUGAAAAUAAACUCUGACAACUUAUCUAUUGUGACCCCGUCUGAAGAGGAUCUUCAAAAGGCAACAGAUAAGUUUAAUGUUCCACCAAAGGACCCUGACAAAGUUAUGGUCCGCUGUUUGGAAUGCAGGCAGGUUUUUGCAAAUGAAAAAAUCCUCAAGAUCCAUUUUGGUGCUAAUGAAUUAGUUUGCUCCUUUGCCUUCCAGUGUCUUGUUUGUUCCAAAAUCCUGCCGAGACUGUGUGCCUUGAAUGCCCACAUGAAGAUCCACUCAAACAUGUCAGAUUAUGUCUGUCCGGAAUGUGGCAAGCCUUUUACAAACAAGAGUAUGUCGUUUGUGAGGCAUCUUAAUGAUGAAUGCUACCACCAAAACAGAAUCUUCCUUCUUCAAUGCCCAGUGUGCAACAUCCAUCUGGAAAGUCUCCCCAAGAUCAAGGAACAUUGUAUGAAAGAGCAUGUAAAGAGCAUUAUCAAAUGCAGUUCAUGCAAUGAAGGGUUCCAAACAGCAGAACUUUUAAAGUUUCAUAUUCAAAAUACCCAUGGCCUUGAAGCUGUUCCUCAGCAGGGCACCAGUAGGACCAUGUGUGGACUGUGCAUGAUCCUGCUCAAGUCAAGUUGUCUGUUGGAGAAGCACAUGGAUCACCACAUGCAGGAGCUGAAGAAGAACGCAAAGUUUGGGUAUCAGUGCAGCGACUGCUACCCGAAGAUGCCCGUUUUUACUUCAAAGCAGCUGCUCAUUCAACACAUGCAAGCAGUUCAUAGAAAACUGCAGACAGUGUCCUGCAACUGCUGUGACCUGAUGUUCAACUGUGUCCUUGCCUUGGAGAAACAUCGUCAGAAGGUACAUCCUGUACAGCCACACUCAGUGGGGCGUCAUGAACACACCAAGGUCACCUACCAGUGUGGAAAAUGUAAAGUGACAAACCCAUCAGCUGCUGCUUUGAAGAAGCAUGAUUGCAAGCCACAGACUCAGUCCAUACCCACGGUGCCCAUCACGGUAGCAAUGUGUGCUAGAUGUAAGUAUAUCAUGGCAAGUGAUUACUCGAAACAUAAGUGCCCAAUGGCUACUAAAAGUCCAGACAAAGCCUCAUCAGAGUCAUCUGUGGGCCUUAAGGGUCCGACCAAACCAUUCCCCGUGCAGCUGAUCACAAUCUCGAAACAGUCCCUCAUGCCUCUAUCAGGGAACACAAUUCGCUUGAAGAAGGUUAAAGACUUCAGUUGCAAGCACUGCAAAAAGUGUUUAGAUUCGGCAGGAGAAUUAGCAGCUCAUCUACAGAGCUGUGAAAGUAAUCUUCCCAUGAAGAGAACUUUCAAGGCAUCUCUGAAAAGUAAAAGCACUCUCAGUAGUUCCCAAUAUGUGUUUUCGUGUAACUUGUGUCAUGCCAAGUUUCCUUCAAAAGACAGGCUAUUAAUCCACAUCCAAGAUCACAGCCACAAUGGUGAUAAGAUGUGUUCGGUCUGCAAGGUGAUGGUCUUCAAGACGGGAGCCCAACUGGAAGGGCAUACUCCGUCUUGUAAGGGGCCUGAUCUUGUAGCUGAUCCAGACACCAAGGUUCAGUGCCGAGUAUGCUGCCAAUUCAUCCAGCGGGUUUACUUGAAGAAUCAUAUCCUCACACACAUUACCAAGGGGAAGAUGAUGUGUCGCCAUUGUCAGAGGAUGCAGUUUCAAAGUCGAGAGGAGUUCAAAUCUCAUGAGUAUGCAUGUGGUUUCACGGACUACCCCUUAGAGCACAAUUACUGCUAUGUCUGUGCGAUGACGUUUGACUACCUCGAACAGCUCGUUGUCCACCUUCAGCAGCAUGUGAAGGAGGGAACACUCGUGUGCUGUAAGUGUCAGAGAUCCAGUUUCACCACGAAGGAGGAGCUGGAGGGUCACCACGAGACGUGCGGACAAGACUACAUGAACAUCCUGCCCGGCGAGAUGUGCAGCCUCUGUCGGUGUUCAUUGCAAUAUCGGCCAACAAGCUACUUGCACCGCCACAUAACGCAGCAUGUUACAAAAGGAGCUCUCAUUUGCUGCCGGUGUCAGAAGAUGGGAUGGGAGAGCUUUGGUGAAGUGAAAUCCCAUCAAAUAGGCUGUGGAAUGUUCACGGAGAACACAGCACUGCCGUUCCACCAACAAGACAGGAAGUGUGUGUGCACCAUCUGCAACAGGGACUGCAGCAACAUGAACGCUUUAAUAGCUCACCUGAAACAGCAUGUAGCUAAUGGACAGCUUAUUUGUACAAAAUGUCAGAAAAGGGGUUGGAAGAAUGCAUCCACGUUGAUGAACCAUGAAGUAACCUGUGGCGUCACUCUUGCUAAGUCAGUCAAAGCUGGUUACAAGACAAUGGAUCAUGUGUGUGAGCACUGUGGUAAGAUGUUCCGCAAGUUUAACCUCCUGACAGAACAUGUGAAGAAGGAACAUGUCAGUUUUCCGUGCCACCUCUGUGGUCUGUCAUAUGACACCAAAUCAGCCCUGGUGAGUCACGUCGGUGUGGUUCAUGACGGUAAACGGUCUCUUUUCUCUUGUAAUAUAUGUAAAGAGAAGAAAAUUGAAAAGAGUUUUGCAAGUCAGUCAGGUUUAGAGAAACACAUGAGGAAAAUGCACAAACACCAUCGUCGUCGCUCUGAUAGCUCUGACAUCAGUAAUACAGAAAGGCACAGCUCUGAUACUUCAUCCAAGCCAUCGUCCCCCCCACCUGUGAAGCGACUUCGAGUUGAGGGGGACUUGCAUUAUACUUGUGCCAAAUGUCCUGUCGUCACGGAGGAUGCUGUUCACUUUGCUGAACACAUCAAGGAGCACAACUCUGACAACGCCAACCAGUGUCCUGACUGUGGCCUCUGUUUCGCAAUCCUGGCCACUCUCAAGAAGCACCUGUUCCUUGUCCACAAGAUCCGAGACUCGUACAAGUACUUGCAAGACAGGGGCAUGAAGACAGAAGAGGAGGAAAUAAUUUCUGACUCGGAGGAACUGUCCCCACCACCAAUAAAGAAAUCCAGAUGGACGAACCAUUCUAUGGCGACAAGGAAGUCUGACAAUCCACUUGAAUGUACUGUAUGUUCAACAACGUUUGAUACUGACAAGCAGUUGAAGACACACAUGAGAAUACAUGGCAUGGCAUUCAUUUGCUCCAACAAGAGAGCUGGUUCCGUAAAGUCUAGUCCCAGUGGAGAUGCAUCGCCAAAAGUGGCCCUAUCGCCAGCCAAGUCAUCAAUAAGUUCAAGUUCUGACAGAAAGAUUUCCAAUAAUGCUGGGAGCCAGGAUGUGAAGAAGAAGACAGAGACUGAUUCGGAGACCUUGGCAGACACUCCACUGCCUGAGGACACACAGCAGACACAGAGGCUUGUCAAGGUCAAACAGGAACCCAUGGAUUACGAUUGACGCGACAGACACAUCUUCAGCCUCAUCCCUCAGUCAUGAUGCUGUUGUGCUAGGUGACCUUCAGCUGAUGUUUUGUUAUCACUGAGCAUAUCUUUGGUUGUUGUAGAAUCUUGAUUUGAAUUAUCUCUCUGUGGAGGCCAGUCAGCCUGCUCUUUUGAUUAUGGCUCUCCAUCUAUGGAUGGAACAAUUCACUGAUGGGAUGAUAUGUAAUGAUGGUAGGAGCGUUGCUUUGUCAUGCUAAAGGCCAAGGUUUGGUUCCCCAUCUGAUGUGUGAAGCCCAUUUCCCGUGUUGUUAUGAAACCUAAUCGCUUAGCAAGCAACUGUUUGUGUCAAGAGACAUUUCAGCAUUGAUACCAGUAUGUUUAUCAAGGAUACAUGCUUGUUGUAUUGUCUUGAGGGAUAUAAUACCGUUCUUUUUUUGUUUUGGCUAGCGCGUUCUUGAAAAUGCACUGUACUUUUUGUGUUUGUUUUUUUAUAUAUAUAGUUAGUACCUGUCCUAUAAGAAAGCUUCCUCAGCUGUUUCAGCCCAUAGGAGGACAGUAUGACAUAGUGGUUUCAGGAAGACUUCACCCCAUUUGAGGGUAAUCACAUCCUCGCAGUGUGUAUCUCCAUUGUUAUGAUAUGUACCCUGGACCCACCUUAGCUUUGUUUUGAAGCCAUGUUCAAAAUAGCUGCCUACUUUCAAGCCAAAUGCCAGAGACGUUUAAAUUGGGCUAGUGACAUUUCUGUAAAGAUUGACAGACUGUCUAAGCGUCAUAUAACGUCAAAGUCUGUUGUCAUCUUUUCCAGCUGAAAUAUCUUUAUUACGAUCUUGUGAUUCCUCUAAAUACAUCUCGUUACUAAGAUGAGGCUGCAAUUUUGAAUGUAGAUCUAUCCAGAACUCCUGUUCAGAAUAGGCAUUUGGAUUAGUUGUUAACUGAUUUCAAGCUAGGGAAAUUGUGUGCUCUGUUAGUGAUAUGGGAGCUGGAGCUGGUGACAUCACGUUCAACAUGAAGCUCUGGUGGUGUGUGGGUCCAGGGUAUACAUCACUGGAUGAACGAGGAUGGGUAGCCCGAGCUGAACAACCAGCUGUUCUUGGGUGUCACGGUUCCUUCUCUAUGGGACCAGGGCUACCGUUUUCAAUAAUGUUUACUUUAUAUUCCUCUUCUACACCGUCACUUUCGGUAAGAAAUCAGUAAUUUAUACAAGGAAAUAUGAACUGUCAUGCAAAUGUUCGGUCUCAGUAGGGGCGCAAAGACUAUACUUACAAAUUGGUUUAGAAGUUGGUCAGGGUGCUUAUUUAUAGCAGUGCGUUUAAUACAGCAAAUACGGUACAUGUUUUGUCCCUACUUCUGUAAUUGGGCAACUGGGGGAAUACCAGGGCAGAACAGUCUCCAGUCUCCAUUGCUUGAGCUGGGGGCAUGUAUGACCUAGCUGAUGAGUCGUCAUACUCCAGCAAGGAAUAGCGGUCUUGCUAUUAAUCGGUGCCUUUCCUGGCCCAGACUCAACUAUUUACAGUCCGGGUGAUACAGCUGGAAUAUUGCUGACUGGUGGAAAACUUGCACCAACUUUAUGAUGCAGCACUGUUGACUGUUCAGUGUAUGUGUGAUCUAGUCAUGAGAAAUUAAAUAAUAUGAAUGUUGACAUAACUUGGAAAAUGAAGUCUUCAAAUCUACUUCCUGCUGCUAUUUUUGAAUAUCCAAGAUAUUUGUGCUCAUUGAUAUGCAUGUAUAACAUUGCCAAGGUUUCAGUCAUAUAUUUUGAGGUUAUGGAUAUAGUGUACAGUUUGUGAAACCAACAUGUAUCCUGUCGGCUUUCUCACCAUUGCCAAAGUGGUCAGAGUGUGCAGGGCUGGGACGAGUCCAAAUUUACUACCCCGAUACCUGACCCCCUUUUGCCAGACCCCCUUUUGCCAGACCCUUCCGUGGUACCUGCUGUAGGUCUCAAGAGUUGGGUAGAAAAUGUCCAACUGAAAUUGUUUCACCGGAGCCCUGUAAAACAAAAUUUAGAUGCAUGUUAAAAACGAUCUGAUCAUGCAUACACAAGAGUUGACAGAAGCUUUAUCUUUACUCAAAAAUAACGAAGUUAGAAGUAAUGCAUGCAACUUUAGAGUAACCCUGCAGUUUUAUUGUUUUUUUGUCAUUAGACAAUAUAUCACAUGACUAACCACAGGUCCAGGACUUCAGGUACUCCAGUGGGUACCCGGGUCCUACUCAGGACCCACUUGACCCGAGUUCCAGAGUUACUCGUGCCAGCCCUAGUCUGCUCACAUGUUCAAUUACAGGGAGGCUGAUUGUUAUUCUUGGUCUGCUUACGGAAAGUUUUGUUCUGCGGAUUAUUUUUCAUUUGAUUUAUAGUGACUUUUUGGUCUACAUGAAGAUUGUUGGUCAAGAGAUCCUUUUCAUUGUAUUUAUGAUGAAAGGCAAAGAUUUACAGGGUCCCCAGAAAAAGGCACCACUAAUCCCCAGAAACUCAGAAACCACCUUAAUUUCAACAGGAAAUUGAUGGGAUAAGAGAUUAUUGUCCCCUGCCAUGAAGGGGAAGUGGGAUUUAGGAAUGGGUGCUGUCCGUCACAUUUUGUUUCCGGGGCAGAACUCACGACCCAUAAGAGAUACCUUGAGCAAACUUGGCACAUAGAUAGGUCUAGUGGUGAACUAGUGCCUUUUGAUAGUUUGGGAUUUUUUAAACAUUUAUCUUCCGAGGUUCCAUGGCAAAGACUUUGAUUUGGACUGAAUAUAGCGGUAUUGGCAGGGGGAUACAAGUAUUUCAUGCUUGUUUUGUUUUGACGAAAGUGCUCAGAUAAGCUUUAUGGCCUAAAGUGGUCAGUCUGCAUGUUUUCAUGUCCUUUUAUAUCUAGAAUAAAUUUGAUUGUAAAUUAAUUCAUUUACUUGGAAUAUUGAUAUUGCAGACUUGUGAAUAGCUUGAAUAAAGUGUGCAACACUG
rnacentral:misc_RNA from 1 species